rfam:Otolemur garnettii contig164310, whole genome shotgun sequence.
GAUCAGGCUUUAUUUAAAGCCUCAAACAGAAAAAAAAAAAAAAAG